GGCGUCUGAAAUUUGAAGCUGGGCGGGGGAAAGCUCUAACCAAAAAGGCAGGUUGGAAGGGCAGCAACGGGGGGCAACCCCCUGGUGGGGGGAAGGUGGGCGAAACGGGGGGGAGUUAAAACAAUUCGGAACGGGGUCCCGGUAGGUGGGGGGAUAGGCCCCGGCGAAAGCCGGGAUUUAAUACGGGCAUACGCUUUACCGGAGGAAAAAGGGGGGGAUCUUAGGACCUCCCCGCUACAGGGGCGGCCGAUGGCAGAUUAGCUAGUUGGUGGGGUAAAGGCCUACCAAGGCGACGAUCUGUAGCUGGUCUGAGAGGACGACCAGCCACACUGGGACUGAGACACGGCCCAGACUCCUACGGGAGGCAGCAGUGGGGAAUUUUGGACAAUGGGGGAAACCCUGAUCCAGCAAUGCCGCGUGUGUGAAGAAGGCCUUCGGGUUGUAAAGCACUUUUGUCCGGAAAGAAAACAUCUGGGUUCAUACCCCGGGGGGAUGACGGUACCGGUAAGCGAUAAGCACCGGGCUA
rnacentral:rRNA from 1 species